GCCUCUGGGAUAGCUCAGCUGGUAGAGCAUGAGACUCUUAAUCUCAGAGUUACAAGUUCCAGUCUCACGUUGGGCA